GUUCAAGAGCAGAAUGUCACUCUGGUGUUGAACUUUGGGUUUUCUUUUCUUUCUUUGAGUCAAUGAGAAAGGCAUCUGACAGCCCCUGGUCAUGACAGGGGUCUAAGUUGCUAAGGAUGGACUUAAUCUUGAGAUCAUCCUGCCUCAGUUUCCCUACUCCUUGGGAGUACAGAGACUGGUUGGCUGAAUGCUGCAGGCCCAUUUGGUGACCACCUUAUGCUUGAGGGAGCCCUGGUGGCUCACAGCAGAAUCUGCUGCCCUCCUGUGGCCGUGCUGGCAUGGCGCUAACAAAAGGAGAAAUUCAAGAAAAACUGAAGAGUCUUUGAAGACACCCAAGAAGUGGCAGAAGAACAGCAGCCUCCCUGGGAGAGUCUUCAAACAUUUUGGCCUCAGAAACUCCUUUAUACUUGUAAAAAUUACUGAGAACCCCCAAAGAUCUUUUAUAGGUUAAUUCUAUCCUAUUUAGAAAUACAACUGAAAUUUUUAAAAAAUUAUCUAUCAAUUCCUUAAAAAUUAAUAGUAAACAUUUUAACUCAAAUAAUGCAGU